AUUGAACGCUGGCGGCAGGCCUAACACAUGCAAGUCGAACGGUAACAGGAAGAAGCUUGCUUCUUUGCUGACGAGUGGCGGACGGGUAAGUAAUGUCUGGGAAACUGCCUGAUGGAGGGGGAUAACUACUGGAAACGGUAGCUAAUACCGCAUAACGUCGCAAGACCAAAGAGGGGGACCUUCGGGCCUCUUGCCAUCGGAUGUGCCCAGAUGGGAUUAGCUAGUAGGUGGGGUAACGGCUCACCUAGGCGACGAUCCCUAGCUGGUCUGAGAGGAUGACCAGCCACACUGGAACUGAGACACGGUCCAGACUCCUACGGGAGGCAGCAGUGGGGAAUAUUGCACAAUGGGCGGAAGCCUGAUGCAGCCAUGCCGCGUGUAUGAAGAAGGCCUUCGGGUUGUAAAGUACUUUCAGCGGGGAGGAAGGGAGUAAAGUUAAUACCUUUGCUCAUUGACGUUACCCGCAGAAGAAGCACCGGCUAACUCCGUG
rnacentral:rRNA from 1 species